UGAGAUUUUGGCUCAGUGGCAGAGCACUUGCCUCACAUGUAUGGGGCACUGGGUUUGAUUCUCAGCACCACAU
rnacentral:tRNA from 1 species